UACAGAGGGGGCAAGCGUUGUUCGGAAUUACUGGGCGUAAAGGGCGCGUAGGCGGCCUUCUAAGUCGAACGUGAAAUCCCUGGGCUCAACCCAGGAACUGCGUCCGAUACUGGGAGGCUUGAAUCCGGGAGAGGGAUGCGGAAUUCCAGGCGUAGCGGUGAAAUGCGUAGAUAUCUGGAGGAACACCGGUGGCGAAGGCGGCAUCCUGGACCGGCAUUGACGCUGAGGCGCGAAAGCCAGGGGAGCAAACGGG
rnacentral:rRNA from 1 species